rnacentral:rRNA from 1 species
AUGGCAAUGGCGACACCACCGCACAAGCUCGCCACGAUGGUCGGAUGGUCGGCCUCGGCAUUCGUCGCCGCCGUGCUCGCCCGCCUGAUCCGCAAGGGCAUCGCGCUGCUGGCCGAGCUCGACGAGGCCGCGGUGGGCCACCUGCGUCGCCUGGAGGGGCUCCUCGCGGCCGUCUGGCGCGUGCUCGACGCGGCCGACGCCGGCGCCAUCGACUCGAGCCAGCGCCCCAUCCAGGACCUGCUCGACGCGGCAUGCUCCGCGGACGACGCCCUCGACGACCUCGAGUACGCGCUCCGUCAUGCCGAGGCGGCCGGAGGCGGCGAUCCCGGGUCGAACGCCAGCACGCCGGCCUCGGUCGCCGGCGCCGGCGCCACCAGGAAACCACGCAGCCCUAUGAGGUUCUUGCUGUGCUUCAGCCCACCAAGAACCGCUUCAUCUGCUGGCAGCUCCCUUUGGAAAUGCUCAAGCAAGAAGAGGAGCAGCGCCGUCAAUGCCAAUCUGGACGGACUAAGAGAAGCAUUUGAGGCCGUGGCUCAGGCCGCCUACAGGUGCACGUCCAUGUACGAGCACGUCGUGCCGCGGAAGAACUACGCCACCAUCGUCUCCGUAAAAUCGCCAGGGGACGCCGUACGUGAUAAGUACGACAUCUUCGGCAGGGAGGCCGAGGUGGACCAGAUCGUGAAGGCGGUGAGGCUCGGCGACGACCUGCAUUACCGCCUUGGCGUCGGCGUGCUCCCCGUCGUCGGCGCCGAGGGGGUCGGCAAGACGGCGCUCACCCAGCUCAUCUUCCACCACGAGAUCAUCAAGGCCGAGUUUCCCCUGCGCAUGUGGGCGCACGUCUCUGGCGAGCUCCUGCUCAGUAAGCAGCUCAUGCUCCAGAUGAUCCAUCCGGUGGUUGCAGGAGACGCCGGCCAUGACAUCCAAGACGCCAGGGAGCUUCUGCUGGCCCAGCUGGCCGGCAAGAGGUUCCUCCUCGUGCUCGACCGCAUCACAGAUGUCAGCGAUGCCCAGUGGAGAGAUCUGAUGGAGGUGCUGCAACCAGCUGCUCGGAGGAGCUUGAUCAUGGUGACAACUCAAUCCGAAGAUGCCGCCGCAGCUAUGGGGACAAUGACCCCGCUGAUCCUCGGGCCUCUGGCAUUCGAUGACUACUGGAGGAUGUUCAAGCAUUUCGCAUUUGGGGCUGCAGAUGAAGCCGAAGAAGACUGCACUCCGCUGGUGGAUGAAUGGGACGACCUCGAAGAGGAGGAGGAGGAGCUAUCACCCAUGGAGCAAGUCGCAUGCCAAAUAGCCAAGAACAUGGGCUGCUCACCGUUACCGGCACGGGCAAUCGGGCGUUCACUCUACUUCCGGCGGGACGAAGAAGGCCACUGGAAAGAUGUCCUGGAUGACAACUUGUGGCAGCAGGGGGAAAUCGGCGGGAUCUCGCCGGCGCUCUGGCUGAGCUACCAGCACCUUGAUCCCCGCCUCAAGCAGUGCUUCGCAUACUGUGCGGUGUUUCCAGGUGACUAUGUCUUCCGAAAGGAAGAACUGGAGCAGAUGUGGGUAGCACAUGGGUUCAUAUAUUCCGAUGAUCCCGCGGCGACAUUGGAGGACGUCGCCGGCGAGUUCUUCGAUGAGCUUGUCGAACGAUGCUUCUUCCAGCCUCUGGGAAGGAACAGAUACGUCAUGCACCACACGAUGCAGAGGCUGUCGCGAGCAGUCUCAGGGAGCCAGUUUCACAUGGUCACUGAUAGCUCAGGUGAAGUGCCACAGGAAGUUCGUCACCUGACAAUCACAACUAACAACCUGCUGAAGCUGAAGAUGGAUCUGGCAUUGCAGCUCUCACAUCCCUCCGAUCACCAUUUCCUCCAGCGGGUCCGCACAAUCCUGUUCUUCGAAGAUUUUGGCGAUUCAGAUGAUUUCUUGGAAGUUCUAGCCGAGGUUUUCUCGAUCGCAAAGAGCGUGAGGGUCCUCGGCUUAUCGUCUGCAAACAUUUCACUUCUGCCUGCUGAGAUCGGCCUGCUCCGACACCUCCGGUAUCUCAACCUGUCCAGGAACAGACUCACUGAACUUCCAGAGACAAUGUGCCAGCUCCACCUGCUGCAGGUCCUUGACGACAAGUGCAACUCUCCGUACCUCCGUCCUCCCAAUGGCAUGACAAACUUGAUUCAUCUGAGGCAUCUGCGUGCAUGUGAAGCUUUCCUUUCGGCCAUACCUGACAUCCAACUACUCUCAAAUCUGCAAGAACUGGAGGCAAUCUGCAUCAAGAGUGGCGCGCAUGCCAAUGCCCUACGCCAAAUGGUGCAGCUCAAAGGCGCGCUUCGCGUUGCGAAUCUCCGGCGGAGCGAUGCCAGUGGGUUCAUGAAGGGUAUCCUGAAGGGAACAAAGCACCUGAACAAAUUACAGCACCUGAGCAAACUACACCUGUCAUGGCCUAGCAGUUCCAUGGCCGGAAGCAACGAGGUUUCAGGAAUAAGGUCUCCACCAUGGAUGCUGAAGACCUCUUGCUCCCUGCCGAAUGUUACAUCUAUGUGCUUGACAGAUUGCCUGAACUGGGAGAGCCUGCCUUGCUUGCAUGACAUGCCUUGCCUCGAGGUCCUUGAGAUCAAGAGGAUGCACUCUGUCAACAAGGUGGCCAUUUCUCAACUAUCAGAUCAAGAAUUGUUCCCGAAGCUCAAAAGGCUCAUCAUCGAAGACGCUUCGCAUUUCACCGGAUGGUCGACCGGCAACUCGACAAGACACAUGUCAUUCCCCUGCCUCUGCAAGCUGGAGAUAAGAAACUGUCCCAGCCUGACGACCUUUCCGGACGUCCCCCUUACGCUCACCACCAUGAUCAUUGAAAAUGUUGGUCUCGAGCUGCUGCCAAUGAUUCAUGACAAGCAGUCAUCAUCAGAAGAAGCAAUGUCAUCAACAUCAGAGGAAGGUGGUAGAUGGACGUCGCGGCUCACCACGUUACACAUACACCGGUGCCACAAGCUGAGGUCCCUGGGAUCCGGCCUUCUUCAGCAGCAGCACCUCCUGCGGUCUCUCGAGGCUCUGUCGAUCAAGAGCUGUGACGAUGUCGCCUGCGAUCUGCCCGACGGCUUCAAGGAUCUCACCGCGCUGAGGGACCUCUCACUGUACGACUGCCCGAAGCUGCUCGUGGACAAGUUCCACGCGUCGCUGCGGACGCUGGAGAUCAGCGAGUGCUUCGUCGCGCGGGGCGGGUGGGUGGACGAGUACCCUUUCCUCUUCUCGGUGUGGGUGCUGAAGAUCAGCGGCUGCUCGCACGUGAGCUCCGAUCAUGGCGGCAAGGUUGCUGAGUCUCUGGACUGGCUGAGCUCCAUGUUCAACGUGUACAGCCUUCAGCUGGAGAACACGUCGUUUGUGACCCUGAACAUGUUUGACAAGCUCCAUUUUCUCGAGACACUCGAGAUCGACGGGAGCCGUGGCGCGUUCUUUGACGGUUCCUGGGAGUUUGAGUGGCUGGAGAAGCUGCACACCCUGAGCAUCAGAGGCUGCGGUGAACUGAGUGAGCUGCCGGAGAACCUGUACACUCUGCCUGCGCUGGAAGAGCUGUGUGUGGACAACUGCCCGGCCAUUCAGGCACUGCCGGCGAACGGCUUGCCGGCGUCGCUGAAGAGGCUCUCCAUAUCCAAGUGCAGUCCGGAGCUGAUCCAGAGGUGCCUCGACGACGAACUUGAUCGGCCCAAGAUUGCCAAGGUUGGUGUCGUUUACAUUGAUGGGCAUAAUAUUGCUGCUCGGCAGGAGUAG